GUCUCCAUAGCUUAGUCGGUAGAACUCCCGACUAUGGUGUAGUAAAACACGGGUUCGUACCCCGCUGAAGGCA